CCCAUGGACACUAAAUUUCUCGCUCCAUUUUCAUUUCAUUUCAUUUAUUUAUUUAUUUAUUUUAUUUAUUUUUUGUUUUUUUGUCUUCAUUUGUAUCUUCUCUGGUUCUUGAUGUGUAGAGCUUGGGGCUGAAGAAACACAAACCCAUUCCGUUUCUUUAUUUUAUAUUGAGAAAAUGACCAUAAUCAGUCUAUCAAAGUCUGUUACACUGUUGCUUUUGUGUCUCACUGCCAGGAAACCAGUGGGACCACGGAAAUUCACAGUUCCCAUUUCAGAGGUUCAUUAUAUGAUUUGUUGGUGUCAAGGCUGCCUUUAAGAUAAAAGGGACGAUGAUAAAGGGAAGAAGAACACUUUGAGCAGAUGGCUGGCGGCCAUCUUCCCUCAAAAUAUUUGAACCUGUUCUCAUUUGUGAAGAGAAUGGCAUGCCAGCCAGUUCUGGUAUUCUCUGGGGAAUGUUGGUCAAUUUGCAUGGCGCUGGACUGUGAGGACAAAUUUCACUAAAGGACUGUUGUUUGUUUUUUCUCUUCCUCUUUGCACAAAGACUUUGGUCCCAGAGCUUAGUUGAUGC